CCUACGGGUGGCAGCAGUGAGGAAUAUUUGUCAAUGGGCGAGAGCCUGAAUCAGCCAAUUCGCGUGCAGGAUGAAGGAUCUAUGGUUUGUAAACUUCUUUUAUAUGGGAUUAAAGUGAGGAACGUGUUCCUUUUUGUAUGUACCAUAUGAAUAAGCAUCGGCUAACUCUGUGCCAGCAGCCGCGGUAAUACGGAGGAUGCGAGCGUUAGCCGGAUUUAUUGGGUUUAAAGGGUGCGUAGGUGGUUAAUUAAGUUAGCGGUGAAAGUUUGUGGCUCAACCAUAAAAUUGCCGUUGAAACUGGUUGGCGUGAGUAUAUUAGAGGUAGGCGGAAUGCGUGGUGUAGCGGUGAAAUGCAUAGAUAUCACGAAGAAUACCGAUUGCGAAGGCAGCUUACUAAACUAUGACUGACGCUGAAGCACGAAAGCGUGGGGAUCAAACAGGAUUAGAUACCCGGGUAGUC
rnacentral:rRNA from 1 species